CGAAACAUUCAUGGAGUGAAAAAAAAGAUAAAAAAAUUGAAGGCAGCAAAAGAGAUUCUACUUCCCAUAAAAUGAAUGUGAUAAUUGGAAAGGGCCUGCAGUUGAAAUUGGAAAGUUGGAAAGGAUUAUCGUGGAAUGGA